rnacentral:lncRNA from 1 species
UAUUAAAUAAAAAAUGACAAAAAGCCGAUACUCCUGAUGAGUGUGUUGUAGAUCACCGUUGUAGAUGGAAGUUUGGGAAGGUAGAAUAAAUCAUUGCUAACAGUGUUUAAUGUGGAAAGGGGCGGAGGUUUAGAGACUUUAAAUAGUUUAAGUCAUCAAAGUCCGGGAGGACGGUUUAGUUAUUAUAACUGGGGUAUUUUUAAUGAAAUUUUAAAAAAACUAAAUUAGUUUUAUCAAAAAUGAAUUUUUUAAUACCUAUUGGAUUAUGCACAACCGUUAACCAGAUUAUAUUUUACUUAUUACUGAGUAAACAUAUUUUUAGGAUAGUAUUUUGGCAGGAAGAGGGAGUGCGGUUUAUUUUUAAAUCAUAUUAGCAUACAAAUUCUAUAAACAAAAUAUGUGUUUAAGAGAAAACAUUUUAAAAGACUUGUUUCCAUGAUGGGCUUCCUGAAAGUUUAGUUGGGUUUAGUUAGUUUCCAGAAACGCUCCUAAAUUUUUGAUAAAUAUAGUUCCCCCAUUUUUUCCAUUUUCACCACUUGUUGCUAAAGAAAAACGAUUCUAAACGAAGUUCGAUAAAAAAAAACACAUAUGUUUUGAAACGCAAAGAAAAUACAUGAAAAAUCUAAAAAUUACCUCUUCAAUGCACCAACAAUAACUUAAAAUUCUACAAAAACACUCACUAGUCAGUUUUCGAUUGGAAUAAAUUUUCGAUAGAAAAGUCGUUAAAUUUUUAUUUUUUUAAUAAUAUUAUACCACCAACGUGCUCAGAAUCUAAAAAUCCAUUUAAAAAUCACGUCGGCAUUUAAAAUUAAAAUAAUAUUUUUUUAAAAUUGAUAUUUGAUCAGAUAUUUUCGGAGAAAAACGUCUAUAAGGUCUCUAGAUUCUAGUAAAAUAUAUAUUUUAUACAUAACAACCCGGUAUUUUAUAUUUUGGUGACCCUAAAUAAUUAGCUGGCGACCUUUAGAGGAGUCAUGACCCCCAGGUUGAGAAACACUGCUCUAGCUUAUUGGUCUAAAUAUAUAUAUAAAAAAAAAAAGAAAAACAAAUUACUUCCAAAACACCUUAAAAAAAACGGGUUUUCAAUCGAUAAAUAAGUUGAUUUCAAUAUCAACACAUGGAUUUCGAUUUCAAAUAUAGGAUAUUAUAUAUUAUAUAUAGGAUAUCAAUUUACCACAAAUAAUAAUAAAAUUAAAAACUAUAGAACACUAUAGUUUUCUUUUCAGGGAAUCUGAACUCUGAAACUACACGAUUUAACGCAUUUUACCGACGACCCUCUUAGAUGCGGUCAAUUUGUACGAUUGCCAUUUGAACUUCAUCCCCCGUCAGCAUAUUUCACACUUGGUAUAAUAUCAUGUGCGUAUAAUAAAAUGCGUAGGUAUCUAGGUACACACAUAGCUACUACUUAAAUUUAUCGCAUUAAAACAUUUUCCCCUCUCUAUUAAUAAUAUAGUGCUUUUAUUUAAUAAAAAAAUAAUGAUAAUAAUAAAACUGACAAUUUUAUUAAGAUAUUUAACAGCAUAAUAUAAAAAAAAAAAAAAAAACAAACCGAUUAUUCGGUUAUAUUUUUAACAACAUUUUUAGAACGGGUCGACGACGACUUUUAAUAUUUACAGGGAUAUUCUCGUCAUUGCGAUUUGCUUAUAUACUUAGGUAUUUAUUCGUAUUUAAAAUACAAUUAUUUCUAACCGGAGGAUAUAAUAUAAUUUCGUCAAAUCGUUUUUUUACUCGCGUAGAAGGUGUGUAAGUAUAUUAUAAUAUUGUUCCGAUCACCCGGCACGAUGGCUAAACAACAAUGACUAUCGUAAAUAAAACAAUAAUAUUAUUGUAAUCGGGACUCGUGACGGACGUGCAUUAGCCAUUCGUUCGGUAUAAUAAUAUUAAAGUGUACUGGUACCUAUAAACUUUAUGUUAGUAUUAUUAUUAUGUUCCUAUAAUAUUAUAAUAACGUGUCAUAUGAUAUUAGAGGUAAAGCACGAACGUGCUUCUGUAUUUUAAAAGUAAAAUUAUUAAUCAUACAAUUCGGCCAAUGGUUUUCAUUUUGGCUAUACCUAACUAAUAUAAUGCAACGCAUGAUAAUAAUAAUGAUUCGUAAUCUAUUAUGAUCUAAUUACCUGGACUAGUUUGCCAACUUAGACCACCAAUGAACAUUUUCCUGAAACAAAAAAAUACAACAUAUUAUAAUAUAGUUUUCAAAAUAAAUGUAAAAUGUAUAAGUAUAUGUUUAUGACACGUAUAGUAAAUAAGAAAAACUAAGGCAGCGAGUUAAAUGUAGGAUUUUUAUUCCCGCAGCAGAACCUGAAAAUAUCGGAUAGUACAGUAGGUGUAAGGUUACAGAGAGGGCCGGACACGACGACUUUUGGCGAAGUCGGAAUCCAUGUUUGUACGCACAGCCAAUGGAAGAGAACCCAAAGUUCUCUUUCUUAACUCCGUUUGAAAUAAAUUAGGCAUAUGGCGAAGACCGAUACGAGAGACAUAGAGUUUCUAAACGAAGAGUCAAACUGGAAUAAAUCGAGAGCCCCUAAUAGGGAGGGUCGGAUGAUUUGGUGUGUGUACUAUGUAAUCCAUGGUUAUAGCGACCGAUAACUCCAAGGAGAAGAAGUUAUAACACGUCAAGUAUUUAAAACGUAUAUAUUUUGUUUAUUUUUAUAUGAUGUAUUUGUGAUUAUUAUAUUAAUUUAAACAAAAAUAAAAUUUUAAAUCACUGCGCGUUAUAGAAAAUAAAUUUGACGAUUAUAAUUAUAAUAUGAUUUUAUAGAUACGUUAUACGUAGGUACUCUUAUAGAUAAGGUUAGGUUGCCAGGCCGUAGGAAGCCAGACCCCACCGGUCCGAUGGAAUCUAUUGGAAAAAAAAAAGAAGUACACUCGGUAUAAAUUUACUAUUAUUCAAACGGCUGUAAAAAUUUACGUUUACACAAGCUCGAAAAAUAAUCUAAUAAUAUAUUCAAUCUUUACUCUUUCUUUCACUCUCUCCCUCUCUCUCUCUCUCUCUCUCUCUCUCUCCCUCUAAAACAAAAACAACAUAAUAUUUCCAUUAACUCGUCGGGAUAAAAUGUGAACCGUUUUGUCGGUGCGCAUCAGUGUUUUUCUAUAUAUAUAACAAUGAUAAUAUAAAAAGAACGUUUUUUUAUUUUUUUGAGUUCUUUAUUCGAAAAUUUCAAACAAUCGAACUAGUCAACGUUAUAUGUUCCUAUGCAUACUAUAUUGUAUAUUAUAAUCUGUACGUCGGGCUUUUUAGUUUUCCAAAAGUGAUCAUUCGUCCCUAUGAAUGUGUGAGCAUUUUUUUCCUAUAUACUGUAUUUUUGGGAAAACGCCAAGCGAUGCUCUUGUUUUAUAUACGCCGUACUUGGGUUUCAAAAAAAAAAAAACCUUCACGUAAAAAUAAUCAGUAAGUUCGAGAUAGGUAAUUAAAGAAAACGUAAAACAAAUUUCGUCCUAUAGGUAAUAUACUAUUAUUUAUAAAUACGAGUGAAAAAUAAGAAAAAACUACCACCAGGUAAACCGUAAAUGUUAUUUUUUCUGUUCGCUAUUUUGUUACCUAUAGUAUACUAUUAUUAUUAUAACUAUUUUCAUCUGGAUGUUGGAUAUCAUCCAAAACCGAUAUAUUGUUGAAACUAUACUACAGAACGUGCGUGCGCGCUUGCGCACACACACACACACAUACAUAAAUAUAAAGAUAAUUCAUCAUUAAGAUUUUGUACACAAACUCCUCGUGAGUGUUAUUUACGAUACCGCGGAACGCAUCACUACAAUAAUAUAUCAAAGGGAACCAAUAAUCAUUAUUAUAUAUAGUCCGUCAAAAACCACGCAGUGUAUAAUGAUUCCAGUAUCUAUACUUACGUUUUAUACGAGAAAAUAUUAAUAAUAUUAAUCGAAUUGAACUCAAGUGAAACACCACGCACCGUUUUAUUAUUUAACGAUAAUAUUUUUAAUUUCUAUACUAUACCUAAUGUUUUGAGUUUUUAGUCAAAAUGUCUCUACUCAAAUGAAAAAAUGUACAUAAAAUAACUCCAGCGAUUAACAUUAAUUCUAGUAUUUUAAUAGAAUAUAUAUAUACAGUGAAAACAAAAUAAAAUAGUAUAUUGUUGAUCAUAUAGAGAACAAAUAUUUGAAAAAAUAUUUCCACCGGAUCAGUAUAACGACACACCCGAUGAGAAGAGUUAUUAUUGAGAAAAGAAGGGUAAUUAUUCGAUAAUAAGUCUAUUAUUGUAAACGUCGUUUACGAUAGUUCGCUGGCUCCAUUUGUCGUAAAAAGGUUGGUUUUGUUUUUCGAAAUUAUCUUUGUCGUGCGUCAUUAAUCGGCCAUUUUUUUUUUUAUUUCUCCGUCUUUCGUUCGAUAAUCUAUAAUAGGAUUUAUACCCAUACUCAGCAUGGUAUAGAGAAUCAAAAAACAUUUUUUCCACAAAAUAAUACAACUACAUUAUAGUUAGUUAGCACACUCAAUAUUUUAUACUAAAAAUGUUCUAACCCGACCAAUUGCAAAAUAAAACCUUAUAAGAUAACACUUAUUUCCGUCUAACGAGUUUUUGUUAUUGUUAUUUCACGAUUAUAAAUAGAAAAAUCGUGACGAUGCUCAGGAAAAAAAUGACGACUGUUUCCGUGAUUGUUUUCCUGUUUUUUUUUUUUUUUUGGUUUUCCAUUUGAAACGAAUUAAAUUUUUGGCGGAUAACAAUCGCGCAUGACGUUAUCGAGUAGCAUAACAUGUCAGUAUGUAGACUUGGCUGCAAGUUGCUUAACCGUGAUAGUUUUACAUGAAUAUGAAACGAAAACAAUAUUUCGAUCACGUUACCCACACGUACGUAUAAAACAACAACAAUAAUAAUAAUAGUAAUUAAUAUUUUAUCGGCCCCUUGAAACGAUAUUUUUACUGUUUUGUAAAAGCGACAACUACAUGCAGUUGCAACGUUAGUUUAGUAAAUGCGAUCACAGAAAACGGGUAGCAGACGGUCAGUGCUCACUGCAGUGCGAUGAAAACAAUAUGGCAAAAGAACGAUGGGAAAAAGACGUACAAUUUUAUUACAUUGUCAAAAAGUUUAUAUUUGCUGGCCACACACCACAAUCCGCGUGCGGAUUUCUGGAUCGAAAUCCGUUUUAUAGUGCGUAUAUUAUAUCCUUGAAGCAGCCAGUUCUGCACACCUCCCCUCUCUCUCUCACACCACGUCGAGGAAAUCCGAAUCCCUAAGGUUCACCCUUGAUGUCACACAUCACGGUUCCCCCGCUCCCUCCAUCCCAUAAGAUAACCAAACGAACACAUUGUCAAAAAGCUACUGGCAGCAUAAUAUAAUAUAAAAAACAAAAAAAACAAAACCGAAAAAUCGAUAAGACGAACAAAUACGGUUUUUUUUUCGAGAGAGUUUUCUCCAAUCCUUGUUUGAUUUAGGCGCGGGAUUAGGUAUAUUGUUGUGGCAUGAUUGGGUAGUAGGAAGAGGGAGGAGAAACCUUAUAGAAUUUGCUUAUCUCGUUCACGGUAGUACCUAUACGCAGUAAACAUACAGAAUUGUAAUAUUUUUUUCGUUCCCGACCGAAUUAUAACACCUAGCCUGUUAUCACGACCACGCGGUUUCAAACUAUGUCAACCGGUGCAGUGAUAUUUUUCUUUUCGAAUCGUAUUUAUUUUACGUCCACUCGAUGGAAACUAAUAUUUUAUUAUAAUUUUUACCAAUACGAUCUCUAUUAGCUUAAUUUAUUAUUUUAUUUGUCUUCGAUUUACAAGCCGAGUGUCUGUCUAUAACGUCGCAGUGUAGGAUUUCGAUUAUUGUUCGAUAACGAUUCCACGCGCCUGACACAAAUACCCCAUCAAUAUAAUAUUAUAAAAAACGCGAUUGGAAACUAAAAACGGACGAUGUCUGGCUGGCACUUGAAAAGAUAUUAUUUAUUUAUUUAAGGUAGCCAAGCUACAUCAUAUUAUAUUGAAAUAUUAUAAACGUGCACGAAACUAUACAAUAAUUUAUUAUAACACGUGAAUUAUUAUAAUAAAUAUUAUAUUAAAUAGUGUUUCGGAUUAUCGUCGUUGUAGUUUUAUUAUGCACUGCUGCGUUAUAAAUUAUAAAAUCCAUAAUUCGUUUAGCUUUAUAAUUAAGUAUAAUAAUAAUGGUGCGAUAAACUAACAAUUUAUAAUAACUGUUAAACAAACUCGCUCAAACAUUAAAUACGUAAAAUAGGUACCUAUUUAUUGUGUGUAUUAUAUAUUAUAGUGUUUGAAUGAAAUUAUUAUUUUAUUAAUUUAUUCAUGUCCGUACUCUACAUUAAUACCGCAAUAAGAAUACAAAUAAUAAUAAUCGAUAUUGUGAUUUCUUUCUCAUUAAUAUCACUAGUAUAAUAUUAUUAUUCAGGACGCUAACAAAAUUGUUAAAUUUUUUUCUAUUCCUCUACGUACGUAAAUAUUUGAUAAUUUGUAAUAAUGAUAAUAAUAAUAUUCUAUAAUAUAUAGUGAUUUCUUGACGGAUAUUCACCCAAACGAAAUCAUACAAUUAAAUAUAUAUAUAUAUAUAUAUAUAUAUAUAUACAUAUAGAUAUAGAUAUUUCAUACUACGCGAAUAUUAUAUUACAUCCAAUUGAUGAAAAAAUAAUUAACGAAUUUGUUGGUUUUUUUAAUAUUACAUUAAAAUCGCCAAUAUCCCGAGACACAUUACAUAAAAUUAGCGAGUUUUUUUUAUGUGAGUACUCGCAUACGAUUGUAGAUACUGUAUACAUGAUUUUACAGUUAUUAUUCUGCUGUUUCGGUAUGACGGUACAAAAGAAAAUAUUAAGUUGCGCGUAUUGAUCGUAAAUUGUACAGUCGCUAACCUUUGGAAUUUUAAUGUAAACACAGUUAAUACUUUCGAGUUGCCUGUCAUUAAAGUUACAGCGAUGUUAAUGUUUGAUUAUUUUUUUUUCGAAUAACUGUCAAAUUUUCGUUUGACAAUAUUUCAGGAAAACAGCAACUAUACUGCUGAACAUAAUCUUUAAACUAUCUUUAAACAUUAUCAGGUUAUCCGUGUGAUUAAAGUCUAAUUUCGAACCUAAACGCCGCAAUUUAUACGCUCUAUACGCGUAACGAAAUUAUUUCGCUAUAAUUUGUUGCCCGUUAUAGUUAAUAAGAGACCUCUGACUGCAGUAUAGAUGCGGGUAUGGCGUCCUGUUAAUCAUUUUCAAUUGCAUAAUAUUAUGUCAUAAUUAUUCGUGUGAAAAUUUUAAUACGUAACGCGGAUAAAUCGACAAUAAAUCGUGUAGCUGUAGUAUGUCACCAAAGUACGAAAUAUCAUAAUAAUUUCAAAAGAUUUUCUCAGUAAACUAAUAUAGGUAACAAUAUUACACAGAUACGUUAUUCAUUUUAAAAAAUGUAUCAAACAGAGGUUUAUUAUAAUAUACUAAUGUGACACAUCAAAAGAGUAAUUACUAUUACUCGCUGUUAAUAUCGUGUACCUUAUUUAAAAACUAUAAUUAUUGUUUAUUUGUUUAUUCGGUCAAAUAAUAUUGUAUAAAUAUUAAAUUACAAUAAUAAUUAAAAACUCUAUCACCAUAUAGAGUUAAUUUUUCCUCUAUCUACAUUUUAUAUUUCAUUAAAAGUAAUAACGUAUAGUAUCUACAAAAAGUCAAUACGACAAUAAACGAUAUAAGAUACGAAACGUAUUGAUUAGAAAACACUACAAUAUAUGUUUGUGCUCAUUCAUAACGGUACGAGGCAAUAUUCAGACAUUUUUUAAAGUCAACUAUUUAAUAAUAUCAAAUUAUAUAGUCUACUUGAAAAGUUCUACAUAAUGAAUACGUGGAACCCAAAUAAUUUCUACGUUUUAUCGAUAUAAUAUAAUAACAAAGUUUACAUAAUACAAUAUCGUACACGUCAGACUCGAUACAAUAUAAUAUACGAACCGUAUAUAAAUAACAUUAGGUAGAAUACAUACCAUUGUCAGUUAUCAACUAAAUCAAUACGUAUAUAGAUUGAUAUGCCGCUCGUUAUCUCAAUUAUUAUUUAAAUAUCUAAUCUCCUGUCCGUUAUUAUUAUUAUUAUUAUUAUAUAGGACGCUCUUCGCUCGAACGUCUUUGCCUAUGAGAUCGGAGUAUGUAUCUAUAUUUAUAAAAGAAAAGAAAAUGAUCUACUAUAAUAGUAUUAUUAUUUUCUGAUGAGUACACAAUUGUAAAAUAAUAUGCAUAUAGAUCAUAAUAGAUAUGUUACAACACGAGCGUGAUGGGAUUUUAUAAUAUUAAAACUAGAAUUUAUAUUUAAGUAAUUGUGCUCGACGGACUUCAAAAAAAAUUUAAAAUGUUACCUACAAUUUAUUACUAUUAGCCUAGUCAUAACAAAAAAUUGAUUAGGGGACCGGGGGAGUAUUGUAAUUAUGUCAUUACUAUUAUAUAUAUACGUCAGAUACAAUAUAAAUAGAUACCCAUUUCUUCAUGGAUUCCUCAAAAAUGUUUUUUAGUCGACCUUUAUGUCGAAAACUAAUUUCAACAAUUACAAUUGAAACUUUAUAACUGAUAUGAGACUUAUUAAUCUUAUUAUAUUUUAUUUUUACUUAUUUUAUUUUGUAUAUUUUAUAUAAUAUAAUAUAUCAUUUGUGUUCAAUCCCAACAAACUUUUUGUAUAAUUAUUUCAAACAAAAUAGUUUCCAAAUCUACUGCUGCAGUCUCUACUCAUAUUCCAUAACCGAUAAAUUAAAUAAGUAUCUUCAGUAAUAAUCACAUGCGUAAGUCGAACCUGCAAUUUCACUAUGUAUUAAGACAGUCCACCACUCUCUAUAGUCUAUAUACAUUAUACACAUUGUCGAUUAUGAUAUUUUCGAUUUUCGUGAUAUAUCGUUCGAUUUGUGAUUUCUAUAAAUUACCUAUAUUAUGUUGAUUAAAUUGACUGUUAUAUUAUCAAAAAAAAAAAAUCAAUUAUUUGACCCUAUACUGCACAUGUAUUUUCGUCUUUGUGAGCAGCUGCACCUCCAACCAUGGUUUACCUUUUUUUAACCUCGUUCUUUUCCUUAGAAAUUCGAGGAUUUAAAAUGUUUUAUCACUUAUUUUAUAAUACGAAAAGCCGUGUGAUAUUAUAUUCACUGCGAAGUCUUGAUGAUAUGGAAUCGAUGUUUCGCGUUAUACCGACAUAGUAUAAUAAUAAAAUACAUGCCUACCUAUACCUAUAAUCGACAAGCGAUUUUAUUAUAUGACGGGUUAUCGUUAAAAAUCGCUCAACGACCGGUCGGUGGCUACUAGAACUCGAUUUAUUUUAAUGACAUUAUUAUUUUUUUUUUUCUAAAUCCUAAACAUUAAAUCGAGCACAGUAUACCUAUAUAUACAAUUAUAUAGCGGUUUGCGGCCGCAGAGAUGCCAAAACGAUUCGUAUAUUAUCGUACCGUGAAUUGCGUCGACGUAUUUGAGCGAUUUCUCGUAUACAACAUACCGCCGCCGUAAGCACACGAAUAUCUACAAAUAAAACACGACACUGUGUGGAUGCGGUUUCUCGCGGUUUCAAGAUCGCGCAAAUCGCGUAUCUCCUCGUCAUCGCAUAUUUGAUUUGCACUCGAAAUCGACCGCCAUCGCCGUUCUUCGAGUAUACGAUUUGGCAAUCUUAUCGCUGACUGCACAUAUUAUUAUUACCUAUAAACGUAUACCACGCGAUAUGCAUGUACAUGUACCAUAACAAAACGGAAAAAAAUUGGUCUAAAAAUAACGAAAAGACGCAUAUAAAGAGAUGAUGAAUCGUAAAUAUGUAAAUAAUAUACGUGUACGAGUAUAUUAUGUCCUCAAGUAGAAAAACGGCGGAAAAAAACAUCCGUGAGCAACAGAGCUCUGUUGUUAGAGUGGAAGAUCGCCCCCACAUAUUCUUGUUAAAGAACUUCACAAAACAAUAAAUAACCGAAUUCUAAACAAAGAUAGAUAUAAUAAAACAAUUAAAUAAAUUCAAAAAAAAAAAACUAAUAAAUUAGAUCAUAAUAAUAGUCGAGAAAAGAGUUGAAAGUUAAAACUCCCAAAAGAUAAUUAUAUCAUUUAUACUUAAACCAUGCAUAUACACAAUUUCGUUUCCCUGACUUCAUUUUUCCGGAUCUGAGGUUUACAUUAUUAAAAAAAAAAAGAAUCCACUGUAGUGAAAUCAAUACAUUUUUGUAGUUACUCUCUACAGAAUCUAAAAGGUUCGUCGAAUAUACUCUAUAGACGAUGUUCAUGUCAUACUGCAGAUAUCUAAAUAUGUUAAAUAUUUUAGUUGAUCAUCUAUUGUCUUAACAUAAUAUGUGAAAGUAACAACGCCGAAAUAUUAUUUUAUCACGGGCAUUCCAUCUGGUCGCGUAUAGAGCGUGCGCGCCGUCGCGUCGCAGUUAUAUCGAUAAAAAUCCGUUUCGUUAUAAAAUAUUUUCUGUAUACAUAAAUUCUCCCUGUAUAAAUGGUUCUUUCCCUUUUUUUUCGUUCGUUCAUCGAUUUACCACGAUAAAACAACACUAGCCUCGCCCCUCUUCGUCGUUCUAUAGUAUAAAAACCCGCGGGGCCGAACGUGUUUGCACUACAAAGUAUACGACGACAACUACUGCAAAGAUAGAAAUAAUAAUAUUCCCAAAAACGAUAAUGAUUGAGUCUUUUUCUUAUUGUUUUAGUCGAUUUAGCGCGUUAUUUGGCGAAAAUUCUUCGAACUUUACGCUGGCAUUUUUCACUUUUAUAGGACGUAAUGGCUCGAAUUCGCGUACGCGCGUGUGUACAUUAAAUUCACGAUCCUAAGGCUUAACAUAUCACAACUAUUAAAAGAGAACGGAGUUUAAUCGCAAAUACAGUCACCAUAUAAUAUCCGGUGACAUUUAAAGCACGUUUUUCCGACGUUUACAUAUGAAAUAUAUUGCGUAUUUUAGACUGCCCGUUAAAGUUAAACCGAGAACAAUAUAUAAUAUAGUUUUCUAACUUGAAACGGGUGUAUUUAUUUAUUUUUAUUCUGAUCGAAGCGAGAAAUAAGCAUUCGUCGUAUUAUAUAUAUUAAGACAUGUGUUUCUAGUCGAAUUUUCCACGAAAAUAAAAACUGUUGCACUUUAUUAUGUCUAUUAUAAUAGAUACAUAAUAAUAUGUAUAAGAUGCGUAUUAAAUAUCAUUUUCCUGCUAUUUUUGGACACUUUAAGAGACGCCCUCUGGAACAAAAUAACUAGAUCAGAGUUGUUUUAUAGACGUAUUAAAGUGAUAAAAGUUUAGUUACAUUUUAAUAUAAAUUCACUAUCACAUAUAAACAAUAUAAAUCACAAUAUAAAUUCACAUCAUUAAAUAAAUCCAGGGGAAUGAAAUUUUAUAAUUUAUGAGUAUGACAAUAUCAGGUACCUUUGGGAUGGUUCAACUUUCAACCUCAACCCCUACAAUUUGUAUGAUCUGCAGAAUUCAUCAUUUGUUUGGAAAUUGUAUAAUAAUAAUUUGAAUACAAUAUAGUAUUAAAUUAUAAUAGUAUUCGAUAGUUCAAUGUUUUUUAAAGAAUACGGUGUGGCUAUUAAACAACGAGACUGAUUACGAAAAAGUGUUUUAUUAUAAAAGUUAUUCCCCUUCAAUAUACUCCCCUCCCCUCUUCAUACACCGUUUCAUUUGUUUCUUCCAUUGCUCGAGGCAGUGCUGGAAGUCUGUUUUCGUAAGACCAUUCAGGAGUUCCGCCGAUUUUUGUUUCACCUCUUCCAUUGACUCAAACCGGAUUCCUUUUAAGGCAGACUUUAUCUUCGGAAACAAGUAAAAGUCGCAGGGUGCCAAGUCGGGUGAGUAAGAUGCGUGUUCGAGUACUGGAGUGCCUUAAGCGGCCAAAUAACGCUUCACGCUUUAUCCUGGUGCAAGAUCCACGACUUGUUUUUCCACAAUAUCGACCGUUUCUUACGAACUCAUUCGUGCAAUGUUGCCAAAACUGUCAAAUAGUAAUGUUGGUUCUCAGUUUGACCCUUUGGAACCCAUUCAGUCAUCACGAUGCCGUUGAUAUCGAAGAAAACGGUUUUGAAUUUGAAUUACGACUGAAUUGGAUUCCGAUGCACUUUUGACCUUCAGAAAAUAAUUUAUGCCACUUAAAAACACGCGCCCGAGAUAUUAAAUCUUCACUAUAGGCCUCUUUUAACAACUUAUAGCACUCAGUUGGAGUUUUUUUUAGUUUAACGAGAAAAUUGUACGUUUACCCGUUGCUCAUGUUUUUCGUCACACAUGGUUUUCGGCACGAGAAAAAAACACGUUCGUUUCAAACCACUACUGCACAAAUACUAUAAUAGUGACGAAAACGUGUUUUGGUACGUGGAUAGAUAAGAUAUCUAGAUACCCAACGCAUUACUCGUUUUUUUCAUUACCCAUCUAGGGCGAGCAGUCUCGUUAUUUAAUAGCCACACCUCAUAUGUCUACAAUACAAAAUAGACGGGAAAAAUGUCGACUUUGUAAUAUAAUGAUGAAGCUCUGCUGCAUAGCUCAUAACUGUUUUUUUUCUCGUGUAAAACACUUUUGUGACUAAUAAUAAAAAUGCUCAGAGUUGGUAGGUAAAAUAGGUAUGUAACUGAAAAGAUGAGAAUUUUUCCCUCAGCCGCGGUACUUUAUUUGGAAAAAUCAUUUCGUUAGAUUUCCAAAUGUUUUUCUAUUAAAAAACAAUAAAACCAUCAAAAUCACAAGAUGUCUGACGAGACAAGUUUUAUUAUUACAAUCAAUUUAAAACAGGCGAAAUAAUAUAAUAUUAAUAGAACGCACCAAAAAUGUCGGUUCCGAACCUUUGGCUGUACAAUACGACUCGAAUGAGCUACUUUACGGGCAAUUUAUUCCGUUCCCUUCUAUCCAUGACUAUAUUAUAAUAUUUUACACGUCAUUCUGUCGAUGUUUAUGCGAUUUUCUCCAUAUAUUAUAUUACACGUCACGUGACACAUUAAUAUUAUAAUUUCGCCGAGUUUCCAUUGUGAACACCUUGUGUCGAUGUAAAAAAUAUUAUUAUUAUUAUAUUAUAUUCUUGGUGCUGAAAAUUGCUAAAAAAAAAUAUCUACACAUACCUUCGAUAAAAAAAAUCUCGUAAGUAUAUGUAAGUGGAGGUACCAAGUACCUGAUGCAAGACGUUGAUGAUUUUUAUGAGUUUCUUUAGAAUCCGAACAUAAAACUGGAUAUUACAGGUAAAUGGAUUUUUGAUAUUUUGAUAUUUUCAACUAAGAACAACUUUCACGAUAAACCUUAUUAUUGUAUUGAAAAUUUGCAAAGAUAAAUGUUUAUUAUAGUACAACUAAAAAAGAGCAAAAAAAAACCAUUUACCGUAUCUAUAGUGCUUAUAAAAAUAAGAUUGUUUCUCGCUAAAUCAUACAAAACGAAAAAUAAAUCAAUUUCAACAAUACACCAGUUUUUUUUUCUAUUAUUAUUAUAAGAAAAGUAUGGAGAGUUAAAAAAAAAUCACCUCCAAAUGUAUCAACUAUAAUAAUAGGUAUACAGUGUAUUUCACUCAAAUGGUAAGACGAAAUAUUUCUGUUCAGUGACCUUGGAUUGAAAUAGGUUUUUCAAGAGAAGAUAGGAAAUACUGAAAUACACAUUUUGCAUGGAUUUUCAAAUUUGUUAACCUUUCAGUGCGCGCAUGCGCAAUAAAACUUGCAUUUUUAGAAACACAUAUUUUCAACACUUGAUUUGGAUAAACUAUUUUUUUUUUAACGACUUAUAUAAAUAAACUCUUCCCUUAUCUCGAAAAUUGCCCGAAACUUAGCUAGUUAAAGUUGAAACAAAAUUAUUUUAUUAUUAUUAAAUUUAUUUUAUUUUGAACAAUUUAUUACAAAAAAUACUCAUCAGUCAUCAUUAUCUUAUAAAUUGUUCAAAAUUUUGUCCAUUAUGUUGUAAACAUGUUUCUGAACGUCGUAUGAUUUCAUCUUGAGUUGCUGCCAUAAUUUGUUUAUUUGUUAGUUGUGUGCAUACUUCAGUGAUUUUUUGUUUUAAAUACUGAAGACUAAUCGAGACUAAUCCAAUGAUUUUCAAAUGUGCUAUUUAAGUAUUUUCAUACAAUAAUACUGUUGUGCGCGGAGGCACUAUCUUGUUCAAAAAAUACGUUUUCCUUAAUAUCUAACGGAACACUAUUUAACAAUGGUGGUAAAUGGUUAGAGAAAAUCCAAAAUCUCCUUCCAUUUAAUGAACCAUCUGAAAAUAGGGGCUUUUAUAGAACUUCCUAUUAAUCUAUACCAUACAUUUGUUGUAUGGGUACAUAUGAACCAAUAGCUUGGCCAGCGCGUUCUCCUGAUUUGACGAAUCUAGAUUGUUUUCUUUGGGUACAUUGUAGUUAAUUUUGAACCACCGAUAAAUCUCCAGCAAGUUUUAUUGCACAUGCGUACACUGAAAGGUUAAUAAAUUUGAAAAUCCAUGCAAAAUGUGUAUUUCAGUAUUUCCUAUCUUCUCUUGAAAAACCUUUUUCAAUCCAAGGUCACUGAACAGAAAUAUUUCGUCUUACCAUUUGAGUAAAAUACACUGUACAAAUUCGAAAUACCACGAAAAAGCUCCUUAUAUAAUAACAAUAAAAUAUGUUCUUAGAUUGUAUCGAGUAUUCUACUUCUCUAAUCGAAAGGAAACACCAAACAGCAACGAAAUUUUUCUUUUUUUUAAAUACGUAUUUGUUUUUUUCACCAAGGUACGUACCUGCUAUAUGUAUAUAAAUCUAAAUAUUUUCAGGUCGGUGCACAUAAUUUGCAGUUGUUUUUUUAAUCGAUCGUCGUCGUUUUAACUGUGGACGUAUGUAUGUAUGUAUGUAUGUAUGUGUGUAAGUGUGUGUGUGUGUGUGUGUGUGUGUGUGUGUGUGACGUCAGAUGAAUUUUUCAACAGAAACCCAGGAUAUUAUUAUUACUAUCGCCAGUACUAGUGGAAGCUGUUCACAUAUAAUAUACAUACAAGCAUUUUAUCAUAACCAUUAACUGGCACGGUGGUGACGACCGUGGUUAAGCUAGGGAAGGUAAGGUCUUUCUCUCUCUCUCUCUCAAUGAUUCGCGACAUCAAUUUAUAAUAACGCGCCCAGAUAAUAUAAGUGCAGGCGCUUAACAUGUGAAAGGUUGAAAUUCAUUCUCAGGCCCGAAAGAGCACACCAACCUAUAUAAUUAUUUUAAAUUCCAUUAAAAACACCCAUUAAAUUAUGAUUAUAUUAUGAUAACGCACGCCUCGUAACGAUGCCGUCGAGUUGGCGUCACUGCUGUGGGAGUCGGUUCUCUAGAUGAGGAAAACAAAUUAUUUAACAUAACCUUAAAUGUGAUCGUGAGCUUCAGUCGGAACUUAAUCGAAAAAAACUUUCGCGAUUUAUUAUGAAAAACCACGUCGUCGGAUAGAUCACGGGAAAAAAAACAAUUUUGUUUCUUUCACAGACUUUUCUGUUAUCACGGGGAGAGAAUUAUCCCUAAGUCCCAGUGCAUGACUGAUACGAACAUUAUUAUUCAAAAUAACUACUUUGAGGUUCAAGAUUGUGAUGAUUAAUGAUAAUGUGAUAAUGUGUUAUCAAUUUAUUAGUUUAUAAUAAAUGUCUAAAAUGCUUUAAAAAAAAAUAUCCGUGUUUAAAAACUUAGUUAUUAGUUAGAGUGUCUGAAAAUAUCUAAAAAAAAACCGCUACUGUUGUUUUUCUUUUUUGCUACCUACAAAAUAUACCCGUUUAAUAUCAUCUGGUUAUCGAAUUAUUAUAUUAUUUAAGGCCAGUUAAGAACAAGUCGACAAUUGGUCGAUAGUAGACUUUUUUCUUUUUUAAUAAACUAACAAUUGCGAGAGUGUUAAAAAUAUAAUACAUCUACACACUAUAUUAUAAUAAUAAUAGUAUUAUCAACGAUGUUCAGUUAUAUCGUUAUUGCGAAAGAGAAGAGAGAAAAAAUAACCGUGAAAAUGAAUGUGUUCGAGAAACGGCGCACAUCGAAUAUCGUAUACAAUAUUAUAAAUUAUAAUAAAUCACAUUUUACCUAUACGAUUUCUGGGAAAUAACGAUCGGGAAAGUCGCUUAUCGUAAAAAUUAAAAAAAUAAAUCGAAAGCGAUCUUGUACGAGUUUUAAUAUAUACACACAAGUGUAAUAUAUUUUAUUUAUUUAUCACUAGAACGGAUAUUAUAUUUUAUGAGUUUUUCUCAAGCCAAUAAUAAUAUCGUAUAUAUAGGUUACUCACUAUAUACAGCGUAAUCAUAUUUUCAGUUAACACUAUAAACAUUUUGGCCGAAUAAACUUAUAUUUAAAUUCAGUUUUCGGCAGGUGAUAUGGAAUAUUAAAAUACAUAUUUCAGGAUAAAUUCAAAAAUUGUAACUGUUGUAUUGGUCGCACAUGCACAAUAAAACUUACAUUUUCUCGAAGUUAAAACGACCACCACCCACCAGUAUACUUAAAAGUUUCCUCGGUGCCUAUAUGGACAUUUUUAGGGAUGAGAGCAAAGCAAAAUUGUUCCACAAAUUAUAGAUAGGAAUAAGUCAAACACUAUUUCUAAGGACUUAAAUAUGUGUCAGGAAAGAAAUGUGCGCUUUUGCCUCCGCCUUACAAGUGGAAGUUAACUUAGGUUAUUUUUUAGUUAAUUGAAAGUAUAAUUUUGAAAAAUUUGUAAAAUUGUUAAAUAAUUUAAGAUAAUUUAAAUUGAUUAUAAUCAUAAAUUGUUCAUUAUUUCGUUAUAUUUUGAUCUAUAACUAGACUCUAGAUUUUAUAAAUCUCAAAGUUGCCUAAUAAUUAAUACUAUUAUAUAAUUUGUUAUAUAAUACAAAUUUAAUAGAUCAUAUAUAGUUAUAAUAAUCUAACAUUUAUUCAAUCACGUCACUAAGUCGGUACUCCUACCCCCUAAUGCAAUAAUACGUUCUGAAAACCUAAUUUAAAUACAAGGUUAUCCGGCCGAAAUAAUAUGUAGUGUUACCUGGAAAAACCAGAUCACUCUAUAUACUAUGCCUAUAAUACGACGAUAUUAGAAAAACGAAAUCAAUUUAAUCGGAACCUGCAGCACGGUAGAUGAUGGCGAUAGAGUCGCUACGCAACAUUAUUACUUUGCGAAUCGAGUAAGUUCACCAUUUUCAUGGAAGAUCCGCGCUACAUAUUUUAAGGGCAUAGCGUUUUGUUUUUUUUUUAUUUUUGAGUCCCGUCAACCGUUGUGCAUCAUUCUCGUACCAGUCAUUUGUUUUAUUAAAAUGUUACAUUAUUUUUACAUGUUAUUAUAACGUUAACAAAUAAAUAUUUGAACGCAAAAAUCAAAUAAACUUAAAUCUUGUUUUGUUUUGUUUUUUUUUUUUUUGCUUCCCUUUUUUUGGAGCCCGUAAAAAAUAAAAAUAUACCUAUAAUUAUACGGUGUUUUGCUUUCGGAUAUUCUCCUCCACCACUGGGGUACUGUAAUUUUAAGACAAAUUAUUGUAAAUAAUAUAACACAAUGCCUAUGCAAAUGCCUAUAUACACGAUGAAAUUAUUUUUUUUACUUUGUGAUUAAACUUCGAUUAGUCUUGUAUUAAUACAUAUGUAUAGUUCGGGGAGGGUGACGAUAAAACCCGUGGAUUUCUCAAAAAUUAUCUCGAUUACAAUGCAUGUUUGUCGGUGCAGAUGCAGUAUUAGAAACUUCCGGCCGGUGUAAUAAAUUAUUUUAAAACUAUAUAAUAUAUUAAAAACGAAAUUAAAAACGCGGGGAAACAAAUUACCGUCGUCAUAGUCGUCGCGGAAAAAAAGUUCGCGUAUUAAACGAUUUUUCUCAAGAAAAAAACGCCGGAGGAGGUGGGAGGAACAAGCUUUUCCUCGAGACGAAAUAAUGAAAAUCUUUUCGCUUUUAAUGCUGCAGGCUUCUAAUAAUAUAUAAUGGUAUAUUUUAAUAAGUUUUUUGUCGUGUGAAAUUUCGUUAAUAUUAUUACGAUAUAUAAAUACAUUAUUAUUCUGAUGUUUUUUUUUUCUAUUUUUUAAUCAUAACUAUUAUCACGAUUAUUAACAUUAUGUAACUGCGCAUAAGAGUUAACAACAUAUCGUUUUAAUCGUUUGUACUUAAGAUAAACAUGUUAGUUUUAUAUACCGUGUGGCGUUUGAGUAACCGAAUGUUUUGUCCAUAUAAGUACCUUUACCUAAAUUAUUAAGGACGAAGCACGUUUGGACCAGGAACGUUUGAGUCACUAAUAAAACUCUGCGACCCAUUUUGACUAGGAUUUAGUGAACCCGUUUGGGCCAAUAAUACAUUUAAAUUUCUAUAAAGGUUCACUAAAUAAAUGUUCAGUUAAACUAUGAAAAUUAAUAUUAGUAAAUUAUUAUUUAUAAUAAUAAAUUAUUAAGUUUACAUACAAUUUCUAUGUAUCAAUUUAGUUUUAAAACAUACCAAAAAUUCAAUUAUAUUAAAUAUAUAUUAGAUACCUAUGUCUAUUAUCUUUAUAUAAUAGAUAUCUGUGUAUCAAGGUCUUAUAACCAAUAAGAUAACGCAAAUAAAAUACUACUAUAUAAAGACUCGCUAAAUAAACAUUUAGUUAAACUAACAUUAGGAAAAUUCUGGUUCAAACGGGCCGUAUAAAAGUAGUAUUGUUUAGCUCAAACGGGUCUUCAAAAUUGGUCAAAACGGGUCCUGCCUAUUACUAUGUACCUUUAAUAUUCCACCGAAAUUCUUCAGUAUUUUUCUACUUGUAUACAUAAUGUAAUAAUUAUUAAAACCUACUUUUUUUUUUUACGCUUUGUCAAAUUAUUAAAGAAAUUGUCUUCAAGACGCCGAUAAAAAAAAAGGUCGUGAUGAUGAGUUGCACGCAUAAUUUCGGUGAAACGGUUUCGGAUUCUAAUCUUCACUUAAUAUAAUAUUACAGCCAUCGGGUACCUAUAUUUCCAUGGAUUAUAAAAAACGAAUUGUCAUUUUUUUUUAAAUAUAGUAUUUCUUAAUCGUAUAUAUUAUUUGUUUAUUCAGUUAUAUACCUACUAUAUAGGUAUGUGUGUACAGUUCUCGUCGAACUUCGAUCUAUCCGGUAACCUCAGUUAGAGUGUGCAGAAAAUAAAAUUAUUAUAAUAAUAAAAUCAAUGAAAUAAUUUAAACAUUAUACAAUAUGUUACAGUUGUUACGUAUUUUUAAAAAGUAAUGUAUUAUUACUUCAAGUUUUCCAAAAAAAAAAAAUAAUAAUAAUAAUAAUAAUAAAAUAAUAGACUAAUGCGAAUUCUGUUCGACGAUUGUAUUUGAAUGUGUUUAGACCGAGAAAAACUUAUGCAAUUAUCGGGGAAAAUCAUUCGAACACGGACCCCGACCGUUGUGUGACCGUAUCACCGCAGUGCAAAAUCUCCGUUUUACUUUUACAAAUUAAUUCCCUGAACAUUUAUGACGUGUAAAUGAAACUGUCAGAAACAAAAAUGUUUGUUUUGAAAUUGGUUAAAAAAAAAAAAACAAGGUUUUUAAUAUUUGGUAUAAUUGUAAAAAGCUAAUGGUCUCGCUGACUUUAACAAUGUUAUAUGUUAUAUAACAAAAAAUAACAUAAAUUUUAAAUUUUAGAGCAGCUUGUUUUUUUAAAUAUUUUAGAAAACAAAUUCUGGAAGAAAUUAAUACUUUAUCUGACUGAAAAUUUCAGAAAAUAACAGUUUCUCGAUAUAUUAUUAUAAAAGGGUAAAAUUUAAUAAAACCACUGUACAUAAUAUAAGACAUUAAAUAUUAUCCUAAUCUAUCAUCUUAAACCAAAUUUUGUUAAACCAAUUACUGACGGUCAUGGGUCCACUUGGAAUCUAAAAGAAAUUUACCUAUGUCAUCUUAAUGAUACACAAUGUAAAUAUUACUUGAAAAUAACACAAAAAUAGAUCAUUAUAACCGGUUUUUUGUGACAAAGAAUUACGAUCCAUAAAGCCAAUAAUAUUAUAACGGCAGCUUAAAAUUAUUGUCGGCAAUCCCUUUAGAAAGGAAUUAGGACUCUUUAUAUAGAUUUUCAACAGCAGUUUAUACAACCCUCCCGUCUUUUCUGUAUAUAUAUAUAUAUAUAUUAUGUAGGGAUUUAUUCCUAUCCCCUUUCUCAAAACGUCAUGCUUAAUUUGAAUCAGAAUUAUAUUUGGAAGUAUUAUAUUUAACUGAAAAAUUCUUCUGCACCGUGAUAUUGCAUAUUUAAUAUUUUAAUAUAAAAUAAAAAUAAUAAUAUUAAAACGGAGAACGUUCCGAUUAGACAAUAUUAUUAGGUAGCUUUGUAGAUUUUCAGUUUUUAAGACCUCUAAAAUAAAAAUAUUAUAACUGAAAAUUUCACGAAAUACCUACAUUAAAUAAUAAUAUUUUAAUGCAAUAAUAUAAUUCCACAUUACAUGUAAUUUAAGUUAAAUCAAAAUGAAAACAUAUUUUCAACGUUUACCUACGAGUUGUAUAACUUUCUUGUACGUAACUCAACUUACUAGUUAUAUUUUUACAAGGAACUGUAAUAGUAACUUAACGUAAUUUGUUUGUAAUAACUAUUAUGACGUAUCUGAGUUAGUAAACUAAGAUUAGUAACUGUAACUUAACUAUUGGUUAGGUAACCGAAAUUUAGUACAACUCACUCCAUUUUUUUUUAUACUAUAUCGCCCACUGGCCACUACUGACCACCGGUUUUCUCUCUUCCUGCUAUCAGUCCAUUUAUUUUAUUUUGGUCCAGAGAGUCCGCAGUAUAAGAUUUAUUUUUACGAGUUCUACAUGAAACGCAUAGUUUCAUAAAUUUGUUUAUAAUUGUAAAUAUAUUUAUGCCAUGUACUUCACCUACUUAGUAAUUUACUAUCCAAAUUAUCUGCCUAGAAAUAAAUUUACGGUUUUUAAUUUCUCCCUCCCAUCCUAAAAAUAAAUUUACUAUGGUUACACUACUGAAUUCUUACAUGGUAUAUUGAGACUUUACCUUCUGAUCUUAUAUUUCCUUGAAAUAAACCAACAAUUUGUCUGGUUUUUAUUUUUUUUACAUUUUUCCCAAUUAUCAUGAAAACCAUUUCGAAAAUAAAAAAAAAAUAAUUUUCUUAAUCCACUAACUAAGUCCAAUGUCUAACAAAAAAUGUAUUUUGGCAUUUUUUGAUUGAAGUAAGAUUUCUGUUAGAAAAGAUGUUUUAAGACAGGAAAAAAAGCACACAUUAUAGUAAAACCAAUAUAUUCCUCGCUACGCUCAGAAUCUAAAAAAUAAUAAUAAAAAAAUAUUUCGUUUUUAACGGUUUGUCGUUUCAUAUUAUUUCUCUUCCAAUGAUGAAUAUUUAUUCACAGUGUGUGUAUAGAAAUAAAUGUCGCCGUCACGUCGAAACCGAAACGUUAAGUGCGACGUACGACUGUCAACCGUCACGGAUUAACCACAGGACAAGGCUGUUUAAUUAGUAUUUAUUUUAUUUUUCCGUUAUUCAAAUAAUAUUUUUUUUUUAUUCAUAAAAUCUAUAACUAUAUUUGUUUCUUUUUUUCUAAAGUUCGUGCACAUAUUAUUGUUAUUAUUAUUUUUGUUUCCUCUUGUCCCCGCAUUAUACAUUAUAACGCUUCAUCAUAUCCGUUAUAUGUCUCGUAUCGUUAUAAUAUACCCAUCCGGAUCAUCGCGUGCUUGCCGCUAUAAUUAUACACAUUUGGAAUAAUGUUGUUAUACGUAAAUACACCGGUUUUUUCAUGUCUUCCAAUAUUAUACAUUUUUUUCAUUCACUGCGAGUUAUUCUUUUUCGUUAUUCGACCGUUUUUCCAGUUCAAACGUAAAAUUAUAAUGCAGUAUUGUAUAGACAUAAUAUAUAAUAAUAAGGAUCUUCUUAAAUUCAACAAUGUUUAUAAUCAAAAUGAUAAAAAUAUUAUAAGUAUGUGUACAUUCCAAAAAUCGAUGGUUUGAACAUAUUGUUCGAUAUACUGUUCCAAAAUUCAAUUUUCUAUAUAAAUUUUCAUCAAAUCCAGUGGCACAAUUAGCUUGGGAAACCUUGGGGUGGGAGUCUUGAAUCUAACCAUAGUAUUAAAUUAAUGCUCUACCUCUAAAUUAGGGCAAGAAGGGGGGCUUCAGAUGAUCCAGGAGAGCUGCUUACGCCCUCUACUUACAUGUUUAAUUAAAUCUAAUGUUUUUUGCAACGACUUUCCUGAUUAAUUUUUUUCAGUUUAUGUCCAUUUAUAAGGACAUAAGGAAAAUGUUGCCAUUUAAAUAUGUUGGUAACAAACAAACCCGCCGUUUUCAGUCCUAUAUAUUAUUUGUAGCUAUAAAUGCAUUUUUUUUAUUCUUUACCACAUUGUAAUACACAUAGAUUUCUCGUAUUUACUCAGUAAAAUGUUCGAUUCUCGAUUUAAAGAAUAAUUUCGCUAGAUAUUUUCGAUUUCUCCUCCCUCUUUUCUGGAAGGUUGUUUUAUGGUAUUUUCCACAAUUUUCUUUCCCCCUCUCUAUCUAGCUGUUGUAUUUUUUUCGGUUUUUAACGUUUUGAAAAUUCACAUCUCUAUAUAUUAUAAUCAUGACGUAUUAUAUAAGUGUUUGAAAAAGUCGGAAAGUACUAAGCCGGACACAAUUUUUGCUAGGAUAUAAUAAUAUUACAUAUUAUAUUAUAUUAUUGUUAUAAACGCGCGGUCUCAAGUACUACUAUUAUUAAAAUAUCACGUUCAGAAGGUCAUCGGGUGUUACUCCGUAACUAAUAACUGAAUAUAUGUUGUUAUACAGUAAGAGUGUUGAAUAACGUUAUUUUAUGAAAUGACUAGUUAUAGUUUAUGAAUUGGUUACAAGUUUCGGUUAGAGUUUGACGUAAAAAUUAUAGUUUGAAUAAUAUAUUUACUAAAUAGGUACUAAACUUAAAAUACGUUAUUUCAAGUAUUAUAUUAUUAUACAUACGAUUUCAAUUCGAUUUCCGUUUGAAUAAAAGAGUAUAUACUAUAUAGGGUGAUCAAUAUUCAAUAUUGAAAUCCUCGAUGACACUCAUUAUCUCAGAUUUUUUUUUUUGUUUUGUUGAAGUUGUGUCUUCAACAUCAUUGGUAUAGACAAUAACAACAAUACUAAACUUAUCAACAGAAAGGAUUUCAAAGUUAUAAGUUUUUAACGUAUUCACAAUAUUGUUUAUAAUUUUAUUUUUUCGUUUAAUUAAAUUAUUGUAAUUUAAUAUUUUGAAAGAAUUAUUUUUUUAAUUUUUAUUGGGACAUUUAAUUAAGUUAAAUCUCGUUAGAUUCUAAUUUUGGAAGUGCAUAUAAUUAAUAACUGGCUCACACUGCAUAAUUGUUCUUUAAUGGGUUCCAAAUUCAAUAUUUGUUAUGCAUUAUAUUUGAUUCCUUUAUUUAAUAAGUUAUUUCCAAAUUUUUCGAAGACUAUAGAAGUUAAAUUAGUGACUCGUGGCUGAAAGGAAUGCCAAUUAUAUAUUUUGCAAAUGUUAUAUAUUUUUUCCUAAUAUAGAAUAUUAAUUUUAUCAUGUACUCUAACACCAGUGGUUUUCAAUCGUCGUGGCUCCCAGAGGCGUCGUGGUUUAUUAUCAAGGGAGCCGCGUUUAUAGUAAAUAAAUACAGUAAAGUAUUGCAGUAAAUUUAUUAAUUUUAAUUUUUAUUAUUAUAAUUAUUCGUAAGGGGGCCGCGAAUUUAGUUUUCAAAAUCAGAAGAGCCAUGGACCCCAAAAGGUUAAAAACCACUACUCUACACCAUUAACCAUCACUUUUGAAAAUACAUUUUUGUUGUACAUAAUUUUUUAAAAGAAGAAAUAAAAUUAAAAUAUUAAUAUAUUUUAAAGUAUAAAUUGUAUAUAUUUAUAUUCCAGCGUAUAUACCUACCCACGAGUUUUAUUUAUUUUAUAAAUUACCUUUAGUAUCUAAUAUUUCGUAAACUGACCGAUUCGACGCUUUAACUUUUAUUUACUAUACUAUACAGACUGUAACUGUGGGAUUGAACAGUUUACCAUGCAAUAUAUUUCUGUUUCUAAGGUUUUAAGUCGAUUUAGUGCAUUAUUUUCAAUACAAAAUAAUUAAAUUUUGAAAAUACGAGUAGAUAAACUCGGGAAAUUUAGACCACAAAAUAAAGGGAAACAUAUUACGUACUUCAGACAGAAUUCAUCUUCUCUUUUUCCUUCAUUCCAAUUAUUUGGGGUCGGUCGUAUAUAAGACAGAAUUAUGAAGGAAAAAUUGACUUAAGCCUUUCUUUUCUGGGACCAAAGAUAUACACUCUGUAUAUUAAACUGAUAACAAAUUCGAGUUGUAUUUGAGUCUAUUAAACACUGCGGCAGUCGUGUAAUACUACUACAUUAUGUAGUUAUAUUACGGGGUUCAGAUUACAAAUUAUUAUAUAGAUUUCUCGAGUGCGGUGUACAAAAAAUCAUAACACGAAUAACGAUAUAAUCGUUCGAAACGGUUUAGUAUAUUAUAUGGUACUAUUAUAAAUGAUGAUGUUUGUUAAAAAUGAAAAAAAAAUAAUAAUGUAAUUACAUCGUUUAAACUACUAUAUAUAUAUUCUAUAUACGUACGAUAAACCAUUUAACCAUUUUUUUUUUUGCCAUACCUAAAUAAUAUAUUCGAUAUCCCUAUAUUCGAUAGUAAUAAUACUAUUGAUACCGUUCGUCAUCAUACCUUUAGACUGUUUACGGGACCGUUUAAUGCACGCGUUAUUUAAACCGCUUUAAUUUAAAUGCAUUAAUUUGUAUUGACUGAGACUAUCGAGUAAAUAUAUUGUGUAAAUAUCGAUAGUAAUAUUAUCGACACGAUUGAAUUCCGAUACUACAUUUCCAUCGUCGUGACGUGUGGAAUAUAUUAUAAUAAUUUUAUAGAGCAGAUACUGCAGCUGAUAUGGAUGUGCCGCUGUUUCAGGUGGGUAGUUUGGAAAGGUAGGAUAUAAUUUAGAGUAAUUCGAUUUACAUUUUUACUCGACAAUAAAUUGCUGCUAAUGUAAGACGAUUAAACAGUUCAACGUGAUUUUAAAUGUCGAGAUUUUAACGAAAUUCGACUUGACACGAAAAAAAAUCGCGUCUAAAGAUUUUAGAUAUUUUUAAAGUACCAUAAAAACAACAACUUAUAAUGAAAUUUACACCAAAUUUUCAAUAUUAUUUGAGAAGGCAACAAAUUGUUAUCCGCAUAAAACCAAACAUACACUAUGAAAACUCAAAUAGCUAAUAAUAACUAAAAAAUUUACCAAAUUAUUUUGAAAAUUGGAACAUUUUUCCAAAGAGAUGACAACAAAAAGUCAAAACAAAAGUUGCUGUCCACUUUUUUAAUUAACUGCCUAUGUUACUUCUUUUCAAAUAAAGUUCUUGAG